rnacentral:rRNA from 1 species
CAGCCGCCGCGGUAACACCAGCCCCUCGAGUGGUGGGGACUAUUAUUUGGCCUAAAGCGUCCGUAGCCGGCUGCAGCCGUCACCCGUUAAAUCCAGCGUCUCAAGCGUUGGACUGCGGGUGAUACCCUGCAGCUUGAGGGUGGGACAGGUUAGCGGUAUUCCCGGGGUAGGGGCGAAAUCCUUUGAUCCCGGGAGGACCACCAGUGGCGAAGGCUGCUGACUAGAACACGCCUGACGGUCAGGGACGAAAGCUGGGGUAGCGAACCGGAUUAGAUACCCGGGUAGUCCCAGCUGUAAACGAUGCACGCUAGGUGUUGGGUCGGCCACGCGCCGCCCCAGUGCCGCAGGGAAGCCGUUAAGCGUGCCGCCUGGGGAGUACGGCCGCAAGGCUGAAACUUAAAGGAAUUGGCGGGGGAGCAC